rnacentral:rRNA from 1 species
GCCCCAGUAACGGCGAGUGAAGCGGCAGCAGCCCAGAUUUGAAAUCCGGCCUCGGCCCGAGUUGUAAUCUGCAGAGGAAGCUUCGGGCGGCGCCGCCUCCCGAGUCCCCUGGAACGGGGCGCCGGAGAGGGUGAGAGCCCCGUACGGCAGGCGGCCGCCGCCCGCCGCGAAGCUCCUUCGAAGAGUCGAGUAGUUUGGGAAUGCUGCUCCAAGCGGGAGGUAAAUCCCUCCUAAGGCUAAAUACCGGCCGGAGACCGAUAGCGCACAAGUAGAGUGAUCGAAAGAUGAAAAGCACCUUGGAAAGGGGGUUAAACAGUACGUGAAAUUGCUGAGGGGGAAGCGCCUGCGGCCAGACUCGCCCCCGGCGGAUCAUCCGGCGGCCCCGGCAACGGGCGCUGCCGGUGCACUCCGCCGGGCACGGCGGGCCAGCAUCGGCCCGGGGACGCGGGGGACAAAAGCGGCGCCGGAACGUGGCCCCCCCCCC